rnacentral:rRNA from 1 species
UACGGGGGGGGCAAGCGUUGUUCGGAAUUACUGGGCGUAAAGGGCUCGUAGGCGGCCAACUAAGUCAGACGUGAAAUCCCUCGGCUUAACCGGGGAACUGCGUCUGAUACUGGAUGGCUUGAGAUUGGGAGAGGGAUGCGGAAUUCCAGGUGUAGCGGUGAAAUGCGUAGAUAUUGGGAGGAACACCAGUGGCGAAGGCGGCUCACUGGACCGGUACUGACGCUGAGGCGCGAAAGCGUGGGGAGCAAACGGG